UGCCAUUUUGUUGGCCUUGUGGUUAGAGCGUCCGCCUAGGAUGCGGAAGGUCUUGGGUUCUAACCCCGGUCAGGUAA